UGGGAGGGAGUCCAUUGCUUGAAGCCCAGAACACUCAACUUGGAAAUGACGUCAAAUUCUUAAGUCAGUGAAUGUUUUGUUUUUGUUUUUUAGCUGUGACUAGGCUCUUGCCCUUUGCAAUCUGGAAGGAAAGGUCAUUCAGCUUUGCUCACCGCAACUCUGCAUCAUUGGGGGAUGUCAAAGAGCCUUUGCACAAGGGGCAGCAAAGAGGAACCUGUCAAUCCCAUUAGUCCAACAGAUCAGCACAGGCAAAGCAACAUCACUCGCAGAAAUGGAGUGAUCUGUUAUCGGGCCGGCUCCAUCAAUAGAGAUUUCUUCCCAUGUGCAUAGCAAGGAUCUCCAAAGUGACUUGUUGAUGCAUUUUGGGCUAUCUUGGAAACAGAGUUGUCUAAACAGCCCCCUUGUUUUGACUUUGCACAUGGGAGCAGCUUGCUAGAGCACUCUCAUGGCCAAAAUAUGCUAAGUAUCCCAGAGAGGACAAAAUAUGGGACCUUUGUCAAGUGUAUUCGCUGAUGAUAUUUUGGCUUGUCCCUUUUCCCCCCUAUGCUCUGUCCUCUAAACUGUUUUUCAUGCGUCCACAUGGGAGAAAGAAGAUUGGCAAGGGGCAGCAGGGGGAACUGUCCCAAUGGAGCAGUCCUGAAGCUGCUUUUGCAUAGGGAGCUGAUAAUAAGGGCAGAGUGCUUCAUGGCCAAGUGGUGAAGACUUACCAUCAGGAAUACAUAUUAUUCCAGAGACUGCAUUAACUCUGAUCACUCCAAAGGAGACUCUUACUUGCUGGGAAAACAAACAUGGACCUUCAACCCCCUGCAGAUGUUUUACAAAGACACCAAGCUUUUUUUAAAAAACAACAACAACCUUGUGUUUCCUUACCAGCUAUUAAAAGUGCAAGAGCACUGAUCUCCUUGAAAGAAAAAGAUCAGUUCACUUUAACAGCAACUCCAGCAAAGACAGGGAAAAACACACAAGAAAA